rnacentral:rRNA from 1 species
AUUGAACGCUGGCGGCAUGCCUUACACAUGCAAGUCGAACGGCAGCGCGGGUGCUUGCACCUGGCGGCGAGUGGCGAACGGGUGAGUAAUAUAUCGGAACGUGCCCUAGAGUGGGGGAUAACGUAGCGAAAGUUACGCUAAUACCGCAUACGAUCUACGGAUGAAAGUGGGGGAUCGCAAGACCUCAUGCUCCUGGAGCGGCCGAUAUCUGAUUAGCUAGUUGGUGGGGUAAAGGCCCACCAAGGCGACGAUCAGUAGCUGGUUUGAGAGGACGACCAGCCACACUGGGACUGAGACACGGCCCAGACUCCUACGGGAGGCAGCAGUGGGGAAUUUUGGACAAUGGGGGCAACCCUGAUCCAGCAAUGCCGCGUGAGUGAAGAAGGCCUUCGGGUUGUAAAGCUCUUUUGUCAGGGAAGAAACGGUCUGGGUUAAUACCCUGGGCUAAUGACGGUACCUGAAGAAUAAGCACCGGCUAACUACGUGCCAGCCGCCGCGGUAAUAC